rnacentral:rRNA from 1 species
GACGAACGCUGGCGGCGGGCUUAACACAUGCAAGUCGAACGGUGAACCACUUCGGAGGGGCUCAGUGGCGAACGGGUGAGUAACACGUGGGGAACCAGACCCCGGCUUUGGGAUAAGUGCAGGAUAAUGGGGCUAAUACUGGAUGUUUACCGCUUCCCGCAUGGGUGGUGGUGAAAAGGGUUUGCGGGUGUGGCUGGGCCGGCGGCCUAUAAGCCUGAUGGUGGGGUAGUGGGGUACCAAGGCGACGACGGGUAGCCGACAUGAGAGGUUGGCGAGCCACACGACGCCUACGAGACGGACCAGUCUCCUACAUUGGACAACAGUGGGGAAUAUGGCGCAAUCGGCGCACGCCUGACGCAGCGACCCCGCGUUGGGGAUGACGGCCUUCGGGGUGUAAACCUCUUUCAGCAAGGACGACGCUCAAGUGACGGUACCUGCAGAAGAAGCACCGGCCAACUACGUG